UACGUAGGGUGCAGGCGUUAAUCGGAAUUACUGGGCGUAAAGCGUGCGCAGGCGGUUUCUUAAGUCAGAUGUGAAAGCCCCGGGCUUAACCUGGGAACUGCAUUUGAAACUGGGAGACUUGAGUGUGGCAGAGGGGGGUGGAAUUCCACGUGUAGCUGUGAAAUGCGUAGAUAUGUGGAGGAACACCAAUGGCGAAGGCAGCCCCCUGGGUCAACACUGACGCUCAUGCACGAAAGCGUGGGGAGCAAACAGG
rnacentral:rRNA from 1 species